UUUCCCUGACUUUCCUCCAGCUCGGAAUGAUUUUAAAAACCAAUUGAUUGAAUCAGUUUAUCAGGCACUCAUGAGAAGAAAUCAAGCCCUUUGUUUCUCUGGGCUAAGAUUGACGAUGAGCUCACGGCGACGACGGACGACCGAUAAACUAUUGGCAAGCAGCUGUCGAUGUAAUAGUGGGCGGUCUAGACUGAUCGACGACCUGCGAUGACGGCGGCGGACUGUAGUGCCUCGAUUUGAAGGAGUUCUGGAAAUUCGGACGAAAAAUAAUGGGAUUAACGGCGCACCAUAACCGUGGAGAUCGAGCUGGUCUCUGGCGAUUGAAUCAAGGAUCAAAGAGAGAGGCUUGGACUCAGCGGCAACUUCUUGGUAACUGGAACACCGAAAUGAAGAUGCGACGAUCAGGAAGCGGCGACCACAAAGGAAGGUUCGUCGAGAAGGAGCUCGGAGCCGGGAGCUACGGCGGUUGCUCUUGGACUCCGGACCAGCGAAGAGGCCUUCGGUUGAUGUCGGCAACCAUCACUGGCUAGUGGCGGUGGGAUCCGAGGGUGAUCGGCGAAACCUGGAGCGAUCCAAGAAUCAUGGAGUUGUCGGCGUUCUCUACACCGUGGGAACCAAUUGGAGAAGAUAGCCUUUUUGCUAUUAAGAUAAGUAUAGUGACUAUUUUUUCAAUUUCCGUAAAGUUGGGGUUCAAUGGCUAAAUCAUACUUCUUGGAAAGUUAGGUGAUUGGAACAUCACUUUCUGUUUGAUAGGGAUGAAUCUGCGGAUGACUGGACUUGGAGGAUUAAAUCUGGAAAUUGCCAACUGGGAUUUGAAAGGACAGUUUCGUCCCUGAGAGUUUUAACGGGUUGCAAACAAGUAAACAAGGCAUAACUGGACCGUUUGAGCUUCAAACGAUGCACCGCCAGAAGCUAGUUCUGUGCCAAUAAGGGUAAUAAUCUCGCAUCUGAUUCUGAGAUUUUAGCUCUUCAAUGAGGUGGGUUGGUUUAAAGGGGAUAAUAUCUUUUCGUUGCUAUAGUUAGAUUAUGUUUUAUUAAUUUGAUUGAUUUAAACGAUUUUAUGAUAACGUGUUUACGUUAUCUUUAUGAUAAUUCAUUUUAUGUGCAAGUGACAUGCCUUUAGAUCAUGAUAAGGCUAGACUAAUGAUAAGGUUAGUCUAACGUUAAUGUUAUAAUUAUGACAGGGAUAGAUGACAAGUGUGCAGCGAACAAGAACACCAAACUUAGAUAAUUAAUAGGAGGAUUAAAAGCAUGAACUCACUACCUAGACUAUCGCCCACCUAAUUAAUAUGUUGUCUGACGGAUACGUUCUCCCAGACAUCCAUGAUUUGUUUGACAAAUAUGUUCUCCCAGACAUCCAAGAUUUCAUGAUUUGGGCGCUAGGGCUAGUUAGUUGAGUUUGGGGACACCCCACAAGAGUUAAGAUAUAUUGGAUAAGGUUAAGAACAACUACAAGAAUAAGAGUCAUAUGUUUGAUUUCUACGAACAUGAUGUUAUGAUACUACAAGUUACAAUAACCACGAUACUUUGAUUCAUAAUGAACCUAACUUGAUUGAGUUGUGUUCCAAUCUAUAUUGAUGAUAACGUGUUGAUAUAUACAUGUUAUGAUUAAUGUUACAUGUUUCUAUGUCAUGAUUACGUGUUCAUGUAUACAUGUUAUGAUUAAUGUUACAUGUUGGCUAGGAUUACAUAAAGAUAAUUCUUUUAUGUAAUAUGUCUACUAGAAAAUGUAACGAUAGCUAUGCAUUAAUGUGUUGUUUGUAUACCAAUAUUUGUUGGAAUUCUGAUUUAAUGUUAGAGUACGAAAUACUAACCCCGAACUACCCACCAGGGUGUUUUGAAAGUUGAUGCAGGAGCACAGUGGAGCAGAUUCGGGAUGUGGCAAAAGUGGACUUGGACUUUGAAAAGGAUUAUUUAAGAUUUUAUGAAACUGGUUUUUAACCAUUCAUGGUAUAGUUUUUUUUGAAAGUAAGCUCAAAGUCUUAUAGAUCAAUGCUUAAUCGAGCGGCAGCUAGUGCCAAGUACAUCCGUGAGCCCGUCGGGAGGUGUAGACCCCGUG
rnacentral:lncRNA from 1 species